rnacentral:rRNA from 1 species
AUUGAACGCUGGCGGCAUGCCUUACGCAUGCAAGUCGAACGGUAACAGGUCUUCGGAUGCUGACGAGUGGCGAACGGGUGAGUAAUACAUCGGAACGUGCCCGAUCGUGGGGGAUAACGAAGCGAAAGCUUUGCUAAUACCGCAUAAGAUCUAAGGAUGAAAGCAGGGGACCGCAAGGCCUUGCGUGAACGGAGCGGCCGAUGGCAGAUUAGGUAGUUGGUGGGAUAAAAGCUUACCAAGCCGACGAUCUGUAGCUGGUCUGAGAGGACGACCAGCCACACUGGGACUGAGACACGGCCCAGACUCCUACGGGAGGCAGCAGUGGGGAAUUUUGGACAAUGGGCGAAAGCCUGAUCCAGCCAUGCCGCGUGCAGGAUGAAGGCCUUCGGGUUGUAAACUGCUUUUGUACGGAACGAAAAGACUCUGGUUAAUACCUGGGGUCCAUGACGGUACCGUAAGAAUAAGCACCGGCUAACUACGUGCCAGCAGCCGCCGUAA